rnacentral:SRP_RNA from 1 species
UCCAGAUGCGGUGGUGCAUGCCCGUAGUUCCAGCUACUCAGGAGGCUGAGGGAGUUCUGGGCUGUAGUGCACUAUGCUGAUCAGGUGUCCGCACUAAAUUCAGCAUCAAUAUGGUGACCUCCCAGGAGCGGGGGACCACCAGGUUGCCUAAGGAGGGGUGAACUGGCCCAGGUUGGAAAGGGAACAGGUCAAAAUUCCCAUACUGAUCAGUAGUGGGAUUGCGCCUGUGAAUGGCCACUGCACUCCAGCCU